UGGAAUGGUUGCUUCAAUGAUUGGUUCC
rnacentral:sRNA from 1 species